GAACACCAUGGUCAUUUGUUAGUGUAGGUCAUAGUGGAGGUUUCAUUGUCAGGGGAAUUCAUUCUCAUCGUUUAUCCUUUCCUUUUCCUUAGAACACAGAAGGUCAAAAAGAUGGUGUGAAAAGAUUCCGAUAAUUGAUUUUUCGAUUAAUGCUUUCAUCAGCACUGUUGGACGUUCACGUAUGUGCUUUAUGUGAGUGGCAGUAUCUAGAUAUAGCACCUAGGAAUCAUUAAAAAUUACAUGGUGUUUCCUCAACUCUGCCUUAUAAUGCCUUCUCCAAGUGAUAUAGUGCUUGAAAACUGGUCAAUUAGUUUUUCGAUAAGCAUCACAUACGAGUAUUCCAUGCACAUAAUGAUAUUUAAUAUUGAUUACACCCAAAAUAAACAUCUCCCAUUGAGCAGAUGUGAGUUGGUCGAUUCCUAUGAAAGAGAGUGAUCAAGAUAAGAAAGUUUCAGGGAGAAGCUGCGAAGCAUCGACCAGCACAUAUGGGAACUUCUAAUCUACUGAUUACGAGACUUGUUAAUGAAAAGGAACGUGCGAUGUGGCAGAAAAAAAUCAUGGAAGAUUCCUGAAGUAAUUUAGCGUUAUUAAAACAGAAGUUUAGGUCAUUUGUUUCAUAAAAUAGAGAGCUCCUCUCAUCUCAUUUUAAUUC